GCCUAAGAGAUUAGGUGUUCCCUUCGGGGACAGAAUGACAGGUGGUGCAUGGUUGUCGUCAGCUCGUGUCGUGAGAUGUUGGGUUAAGUCCCGCAACGAGCGCAACCCUUAUUGUCAGUUGCCAGCAUUAAGUUGGGCACUCUGGCAAGACUGCCGGUGACAAACCGGAGGAAGGUGGGGAUGACGUCAAAUCAUCAUGCCCCUUAUGACCUGGGCUACACACGUGCUACAAUGGACGAUACAACGAGUCGCUAGACCGCGAGGUUAAGCUAAUCUCUGAAAGUCGUUCUCAGUUCGGAUUGCAGGCUGCAACUCGCCUGCAUGAAGUCGGAAUCGCUAGUAAUCGCGGAUCAGCAUGCCGCGGUGAAUACGUUCCCGGGUCUUGUACACACCGA
rnacentral:rRNA from 1 species